UACGUAGGGUGCAAGCGUUAUCCGGAAUUAUUGGGCGUAAAGAGCUCGUAGGCGGUUUGUCGCGUCUGCUGUGAAAACUGGAGGCUCAACCUCCAGCCUGCAGUGGGUACGGGCAAACUAGAGUGCGGUAGGGGAGAUUGGAAUUCCUGGUUGUAGCGGUGGAAUGCGCAGAUAUCAGGAGGAACACCGAUGGCGAAGGCAGAUCUCUGGGCCGUAACUGACGCUGAGGAGCGAAAGCAUGGGGAGCGAACAGG
rnacentral:rRNA from 1 species